ACCCCUUAAAAUAUUUGCACUUAUUUCUGGGACACCCUGUAUAUAUCUCUCAUAUUAUCAUUCUGUGAAAUAUUCUAUUAAUUUAUGUAUUUCGGAGUUAUCAGCCAUCACCAGAGCCAACACUUACUUGUAUCAUUUUUUUAUAUUGUGCCAUUCUAUGUCAAGGCAUUUUAUUUCUAUUGUCUAUUUUAGAGUUGUAAUUUUGGAAACAUUUUCAUGAUUUUUUUAAUUAAUCAUACAGACAGAGUUAAACUUAAUAAUUCUUAAAUAUAAUUUAUUAUUUGUCUUUUAUAUCGAUUGUAUAUUCAUUAACACUUCUACGUAUUUGAUUUCAUUUCUAUUGAUGCCUACAUAGAAUAAUUGUAUAGUUUUGGAUUCUUUUUCUAAUAGAUUUUGUUUUCUUUCCGUUUCUAAUUCCUUAUAAAUUGAGUUUUUUAAUGGGAUAUUGUACUGCUUUGGAACAAGGAUUUUUUUGGGACAGCUGCACUUCAAUUCAACCAUCCAGUUCAAGAGACAAGAGGCCAUUGGCUUGAUAAAUUCAACAUUCAGCAGUAGAAUGAGUUGAAGAGGAACGAAAUAACUUUAGAUUUUGUACAAGAAAUCGAUGGAUGGGGCAGUACAUUUAUCCUUUUGAUGAAUAUUACCAACAAUCAGGACAUCUGCACUACAAUUUAACCACUCUCUUCAAGAUGCCCUUAGGUUGAUUAAAUUCAACAUUCAACAGUGGAUUGAGAAUAAAAUUCAUCGUUGAAAAGGAAACUAAAUAAUUUUAGAACCAAGACUUUCCAGAAGGGUAACCAGAAGAUUUAUUUACUUCCAACAUAGACAUCAG